UACGAAGGGGGCUAGCGUUGCUCGGAAUCACUGGGCGUAAAGCGCACGUAGGCGGCUUUCUAAGUCAGGGGUGAAAUCCUGGAGCUCAACUCCAGAACUGCCUUUGAUGCUGGGAAGCUUGAGUCCGGAAGAGGUGAGUGGAACUGCGAGUGUAGAGGUGAAAUUCGUAGAUAUUCGCAAGAACACCAGUGGCGAAGGCGGCUCACUGGUCCGGUACUGACGCUGAGGUGCGAAAGCGUGGGGAGCAAACAGG
rnacentral:rRNA from 1 species